rnacentral:rRNA from 1 species
AAGGCGCUUGAGAGAACUCAGGAGAAGGAACUCGGCAAAUUGACACCGUAACUUCGGAAGAAGGUGUGCCUUUAGUAGGUGAAGGGAUUUACUCCUAGAGCCCAAUGAGGUUGCAAAAAAUCGGUGGCUGCGACUGUUUAUUAAAAACACAGCACUCUGCAAACACGAAAGUGGACGUAUAGGGUGUGACGCCUGCCCGGUGCUGGAAGAUUAAAUGAUGGGGUGCAAGCUCUUGAUUGAAGUCCCAGUAAACGGCGGCCGUAACAAUAACGGUCCUAAGGUAGCGAAAUUCCUUGUCGGGUAAGUUCCGACCUGCACGAAUGGCGUAACGAUGGCCACACUGUCUCCUCCUGAGACUCAGCGAAGUUGAAAUGUUUGUGAUGAUGCAAUCUCCCCGCGGAAAGACGGAAAGACCCCAUGAACCUUUACUGUAGCUUUGUAUUGGACUUUGAACAGAUCUGUGUAGGAUAGGUGGGAGGCUUUGAAGUAGGGUCGCUAGAUCUUAUGGAGCCAACGUUGAAAUACCACCCUGGUGUGUUUGAGGUUCUAACCUAGGUCCAUUAUCUGGAUCGGGGACAGUGCAUGGUAGGCAGUUUGACUGGGGCGGUCUCCUCCCAAAGCGUAACGGAGGAGUUCGAAGGUACGCUAGUUACGGUCGGACAUCGUGACGAUAGUGCAAUGGCAUAAGCGUGCUUAACUGCGAGACUGACAAGUCGAGCAGAUGCGAAAGCAGGACAUAGUGAUCCGGUGGUUCUGUAUGGAAGGGCCAUCGCUCAACGGAUAAAAGGUACUCUGGGGAUAACAGGCUGAUACCGCCCAAGAGUUCAUAUCGACGGCGGUGUUUGGCACCUCGAUGUCGGCUCAUCUCAUCCUGGGGCUGUAGCCGGUCCCAAGGGUAUGGCUGUUCGCCAUUUAAAGAGGUACGUGAGCUGGGUUUAAAACGUCGUGAGACAGUUUGGUCCCUAUCUUCCGUGGGCGCUGCAGAUUUGAGGAAGCCUGCUCCUAGUACGAGAGGACCGGAGUGGACACACCUCUGGUGUAUCGGUUGUCACGCCAGUGGCAUUGCCGAGUAGCUAAGUGUGGAAGAGAUAACCGCUGAAAGCAUCUAAGCGGGAAACUCGUUUCAAGAUGAGAUCUGCCGGGGCCUUGAGCCCCCUAAAGAGUCGUUCAAGACCAGGACGUUGAUAGGUCGGGUGUGGAAGCGCAGUAAUGCGUUAAGCUAACCGAUACUAAUUGCUCGUGCGGCUUGACC